UUUCUUUGCCAGAACUAUUGGAAACGAGCUUACGUUUCUCCUUUUCAGCAUCUGGUCAUCCUUCUUAGCUUU